GCCGAGGUAGCUCAACGGACGAGAGCAGCGGCUUUGUAACCCGCAGGUUGGGGGUUCAAGUCCCCCUCUCGGCU
rnacentral:tRNA from 1 species